rnacentral:rRNA from 1 species
UACGUAGGGACCGAGCGUUGUCCGGAAUCAUUGGGCGUAAAGAGCGUGUAGGCGGCCUUUUAAGUCCUGCGUGAAAUCCUGCGGCUCAACCGCAGACGGUCGUGGGAAACUGGAAGGCUAGAGUGCGGGAGAGGAGAGUGGAAUUCCCGGUGUAGCGGUGAAAUGCGCAGAUAUCGGGGAAGAACACCCGUGGCGAAGGCGGCUUCUGGGCCUUACCUGACGCUGAGGAGCGAAAGCUGGGGGAGCGAACGGG